CAGCCGCCACGGUAAUACGGAGGGUGCAAGCGUUAAUCGGAAUUACUGGGCGUAAAGCGCACGCAGGCGGUCUGUCAAGUCAGAUGUGAAAUCCCCGGGCUUAACCUGGGAACUGCAUUUGUGACUGGCAAGCUAGAGUGUGGCAGAGGGGGGUGGAAUUCCGCGUGUAGCAGUGAAAUGCGUAGAUAUGCGGAGGAACACCGAUGGCGAAGGCAGCCCCCUGGGCCAACACUGACGCUCAUGCACGAAAGCGUGGGGAGCAAACAGGAUUAGAUACCCCAGUAGUCCCUGUCUCUUAUAC
rnacentral:rRNA from 1 species